rnacentral:lncRNA from 1 species
AACUGCUUCUGGGCUUCCUCCCGCUUCCCUCUCUGGGAUUGCCUGGGGGACUUCCAGGAGGGAGUGGGAGAGCGAAGAGUCACUCCUGCUUAGCGCCUACCUCUGUCCGUGUGGCCUCUCCCUACUCAGCCCUCGGAUGAUGGAGCAAACACAAAUGGGCAGAGGACAGCAUGUGGCCCUCCCUAAUGGAAUGGGCCUUGUCUGGUCUGCUGAAGGUCUGAAUCCACACAAAGGCUGCCUCUUCUACCAAUAAAGGGUGCUUCUGCCUGAUCAUCUUGAACUACCAAGUGAGUCUUUUCCUUCCUUUGACUCAAACUGAAACAUCUGGUCUGAGCUUUCAAAACUGCUAGAUUUUGGUCUGGAACCUACCCCAUCAGCUUGCCUGGGUCUCCAACUUCUGACUGAAGAAGCCAGAGUCUGUCUGUCUGUCUGUCAUCUGUCUCUCUCUCUCCAUACAUGUGUGUGUGCCUGUGUGUGUGUCUGUGUAUGUGUGUGUGUGUGUGUGUGUGUAUACACACACACACAU